rnacentral:lncRNA from 1 species
AAACAGUUCUCAUUUUGUGUGCUCGGCUGACUGCACGUCCAGCCUCGGGCCAGCUCGAGACGGCCACAUUGCCUGGUUGAAGAUGGCUGAGCGUAAAACAGAAUGCAAGUCAGCUGGAGCACGUACUACUGGAGGCAGAGCCCCAUGAGAAGGGGCCAAGAACCCGCACCCAUCAAAAUCAAGAAGAAAGGCUGAACCCGGAGAGAAAAGGGAGCAACUGAUGUUGCCAUGCAGAUCCCUUGGUUGCUAUGAGAUGGUAACAUCACUCUGCCCCACCAUUGGCCAGUGCCUCCUCAGCUGCGGUGCCUCCCAGGCUGUGUGGUUCUCACGCGGGCCACUGACACAGAGCUGUUACUAUGGUGAACUUUACAAUUUCCUUUGAUUGGUGGAUUUCAGAAAUAGGCCAUCAGCGGAAUUCAUUAUAUUCAGCUAAGUAAAAAUGAAAAAUAAAUACUAUAACUUUCCCCUCAUCACUAACAUGAAGGAAACGUGACCCUUCAUGACAUAAUAAAUCGCUGUUCGGUAACUUAGGAUCCUUCAGGGGACUGAAGCGGGAUGAUCCUCCUAUGCCAAAUUUGGGUGGGAAAGAUAUUCCCUGUAGCUUUGAGUCGACUCUUCAGAGUUAAGGGCAGUGGGCCAACCAGAGUUGGAACUUCAGAGUUGGGAGGAGGUGUGGGAUGGGGCAUGCAUUGAAAUGUAAACUCUAUUGUCUCUGAAGUGAUGGGUGAUGCUGGGGGCCUGAGUGUGGAGGGCAGUUUUACAUCUCAGGACAAUGUUUUCUCAGAUGCUCUUCCAGAAAGAAAAGCCAGGAGUACUCCUGGCUGGAGGCGGCAUGCCUGAGGUCAGAGUCAAAGUAGGGUUUGUGCUGUCUGAAUCCUUUCUCCCACUCUCCCCAGCCUGGCUCAGCUUCUCAGCUUCUCAGGUGGAUUGGCCUCUGAGCCCAAGCCAAGCCAUCGCAUCCCCUGUGACUUGCCCGUAUAUAUGCCCAGAUGGCCUGAAGUAACUGAAGAAUCACAAAAGAAGUGAAUAUGCCUUGCCCCACCUUGACUGAUGACAUUCCACCACAAAAGAAGUGUAAAUGGCCGGUCCUUGCCUUAACUGAUGACAUUACCUUGUGAAAGUCCUUUUCCUGGCUCAUCCUGGCUCAAAAAGCACCCCCACUGAGCAUCUUGCGACUCCCACUCCUGCCCACUGAGCACCUUGUGACCCCCACUCCUGCCUGCCAGAGAACAAACCCCCUUUGACUGUAAUUUUCCUUUACCUACCCAAAUCCUAUAAAACGGCUCCACCCUUAUCUCCUUUUGCUGACUCUCUUUUCUGACUCAGCCCGCCUGCACCCAGGAGAUUAAAAGCUUUAUUGCUCACACAAAGCCUGUUUGGUGGUCUCUUCACAUGGAUAUGCAUGAAAUUUGGUGCCGUGACUCGGAUCGGGGGACCUCCCUUGGGAGAUCAAUCCCCUGUCCUCCUGCUCUUUGCUCCGUGAGAAAGAUCCACCUACGACCUCAGGUCCUCAGACCGACCAGCCCAAGAAACAUCUCACCAAUUUCAAAUCCAAUCUUCUCGGCUUAGCGGCUGAAGACUGACACUGCCCGAUCACCUCGGAAGACCCCUAGACCAUCACGGACGCCGAGCUUCGGGUAACUUUCACAGUGGAAGGUAAGCCCGUCCCCUUCUUAAUCAAUACAGAGGCUACUCACUCCACAUUACCCUCUUUUCAAGGGCCUCUUUCCCUUGCCUCCAUAACUGUUGUGGGUAUUGAUGGCCAGGCUUCUAAACCUCUUAAAACUCCCCAACUCUGGUGCCAACUUAGACAAUACUCUUUUAAGCACUCCUUUUUAGUUAUCCCCACCUGCCCAGUUCCCUUAUUAGGCUGAGACACUUUAACUAAAUUAUCUGCUUCCCUGACUAUUCCUGGACUACAGCUAUAUCUCACUGCCGCCCUUCUUCCCAAUCCAAAGCCUCCUUUGCGUCCUCCUCUUCUAUCCCCCCACCUUAACCCACAAGUAUAAGAUACCUCUACUCCCUCCUUGGCGACCAAUCAUGCACCCCUUACUAUCUCAUUAAAACCUAAUCACCCUUACCCCACUCAACGCCAAUAUCCCAUCCCGCAGCACACUUUAAAAAGAUUAAAGCCUGUUAUCACUCGCCUGCUACAGCAUGGCCUUUUAAACCCUAUAAACUCUCCUUACAAUUCCCCCAUUUUACCUGUCCUAAAACCAGACAAGCCUUACAAGUUAGUUCAGGAUCUGCGCCUUAUCAACCAAAUUGUUUUGCCUAUCCACCCUGUGGUGCCAAACCCAUAUACUCUCCUAUCCUCAAUACCUGCCUCUACAACCCAUUAUUCUGUUCAGAUCUCAAACCUGCUUUCUUUACUAUUGCUUUGCACCCUUAAUCCCAGCCUCUCUUCGCUUUCACUUGGACUGACCCUGACACCCAUCAAGCUCAGCAAAUUACCUAGGCUGUACUGCCGCAAAGCUUCACAGACAGCCCCCAUUACUUCAAUCAAGCCCAGAUUUCCUCCUCAUCUGUUACCUAUCUCGGCAUAAUUCUCAUAAAAACACACGUGCUCUCCCUGCCAAUCGUGUCCAACUGAUCUCUCAAACCCAAGCACCUUCUACAAAACAACAACUCCUUUCCUUCCUAGGCAUGCCUUUCUGUCCAAACAACUUGACCUUACUGUUUUAGCCUAGCCCUCAAGUCUGUGUGCAGUGGCUGCCGCUGCUUUAAUACUUUUAGAGGCCCUCAAAAUAAGUAGAGGCCUUUCCUACAGGGUCUGAGAAGGUCACCGCAGUCAUUUCUUCCGUUCUGUCAGACAUAAUUCCUCAGUUUAGCCUUCCCACCUCAGUACAGUCUGAUAACAGACGAGCCUUUAUUAGUCAAAUCAGCCAAGCAGUUUUUCAGGCUCUUAGUAUUCAGUGAAACCUUUAUAUCCCUUAUGGUCCUCCAUCUUCAAGAAAGGUAGAAUGGACUAAAGGUCUUUUAAAAACACACCUCACCAAGCUCAGCCACCAACUUUAAAAGGACUGGAUAAUACUUUUACCACUUUCCCUUCUCAGAAUUCAGGCCUGUCCUCGGAAUGCUACAAGGCACAGCCCAUUUAAGCUCCUGUAUAGACGCUCCUUUUUAUUAGGCCCCAGUCUCAUUCCAGACACCAGACCAACUUAGACUGUGCCUCAAAACAAACAAACAAACAAACAAACUUGUCAUCCCUACUAUUUUCUGUCUAGUUCAUACUCGUAUUCACCGUUCUCAACUACUCAUACAUGCCCUGCUCUUGUCUACACUGCCAGUUUACACUAUUUCUCCAAGCCAUCACAGCUGAUAUCUCCUGGUGCUAUCCCCAAACUGCCACUCUUAACUCUUGAAGUAAAUAAAUAAUCUUUCCUGGCAGGACUAUGGUGAAUCUCCUUAAGCACUCUCUAAUCAGACAUCCUGAGUCGUCCCAAUUCUUAGACCUUUUAUACCUGUUUUUCUCCUUCUGUUAUUCCAUUUAGUUUUUCAAUUCAUACAAAACCGUAUCCAGGCCAUCACCAAUCAUUCUAUAUGACAAAUGUUUCUUCUAACAACCCCACAAUAUCACCCCUUACCACAAGACCUCCCUUCAGCUUAAUCUCUCCCGCUCUAGGUUCCCACGCCGCCCCUAAUCCCGCUUGAAGCAGCCCUGAGAAACAUCGCCCAUUCUCUCUCCAUACCACCCCCCAAAAAUUUCACCGCCCCAACACUUCAACACUAUUUUGUUUUAUUUUUCUUAUUAAUAUAAGAAGGCAGGAAUGUCAGGCCUCUGAGCCCAAGCCAAGCCAUCGCAUCCCCUGUGACUUGCACGUAUACACCCAGAUGGCCUGAAGUAACUGAAGAAUCACAAAAGAAGUGAAUAUGCCUUGCCCCACCUUGACUGAUGACAUUCCACCACAAAAGAAGUGUAAAUGGCCGGUCCUUGCCUUAACUGAUGACAUUACCUUGUGAAAGUCCUUUUCCUGGCUCAUCCUGGCUCAAAAAGCACCCCCACUGAGCACCUUGCGACCCCCCACUCCUGCCCGCCAGAGAACAAACCCCCUUUGACUGUAAUUUUCCUUUACCUCCCCAAAUCCUAUAAAACGGCCCCACCCUUAUCUCCCUUUGCUGACUCUCUUUUCGGACUCAGCCCGCCUGCACCCAGGUGAUUAAAAGCUUUAUUGCUCACACAAAGCCUGUUUGGUGGUCUCUUCACACGGACACGCAUGAAAUUUCACAGUCAUGAAUAGUGAUUUUUUGGUUUCUGUUUUUGUGAUUAACUUCUGCAAAUUUGUCAAUGACUUUGUCAGAGUUAUUUUUCUUCCCAUAUUCAUGAAGUUUCUAUCUAUCUUUGAUCAAGGAAC